GGUCGAUUAGCUCAGUUGGUUAGAGCGUGGUGCUAAUACGAAGCUGAGGCUCGUUUACGCCAAGGUCGCGAGUUCGAGACUCGUAUUGACCA